ensembl:snoRNA U3 Small nucleolar RNA U3
AAGACUGUACGUUCAGGGAUCAUUUCUGUAGUUUGUUACUAGAGAAGUUUCUCUGAAUGUGUAGAGCACCUGAAACCACGAGGAGGAGGUGCAGUGUUCUCUCCUGAGUGUGCAGCCGGCUCUUGGUGUUGCUUUUGUAACUGCCAUUAGCCAUUGAUGAUCAUUCUUUUCUUCCUUUAGUAGCAUAUGAGGGAGAGAAUACAGUCUGAGUGGC